AGAAACUUAGGAUAGACCUAAACCAAAGGCCUUCAAAGCCUUAAACAAGAGUUAAACCCUCUUAGUUUCUGC
rnacentral:tRNA from 1 species